UGAUAAAAACCAUCUAACAAAUUUUAUAUUGGUAAUAUUAGUUUUAAUCAUAUCACUCUCUUUCAUUUGAUUCCUUCUAUUUGGGAAAAGAGAAGGGAAAUGAUAAUUGGCUUCUGGUGGUCAAAAUAGUAUACCUUUGAUUUCUAUCAGAUUUUUAAUUCAAUAAAAUCCAAAGUAGGAGCCAUGGAAGAUGAAGAUUGAAGGAUAAGCAGGUACCUAUCAGCAAGCACCUAUGUGUGCCACAACUAAAAAGCUAGAAAUGAAGUGGUAUCUACAAAAGGAUUUUAAGUUAGGAAAUGACUGCUUAGUGACUCCUUAAGUUUUGUUGAGAAAAAAAUAAUAUCUCUUCAGCAACUGAAUGUGGAAGAAGAACUAUAAAGAAAUGAGAUUAGUGUCUAAGUGAUCAGUUAGAUGAGUCACAGUAUUCAAGAUGAAAUUUAUUGAGGGCCUGAACUGAAAUCAUGACUAUGAAUCUGUGAGCAACAUUAAGAAGGAUAGUUUUAAGAGAGUAUUAGGUAGAAAGGAUAAGAUUGGGGAUUAUCUAGGUAGAAUUUUGGAGUUGGGUGCUGUUAAGGAAAAAGGGAAUUUUAGAUGACUCCUAAGAGAAUACUUUAAGAGAAGUUAUGGACAACCAGAAAUUAGGGAGGAUGUGGAGGGGGAUUAAAAAUUAUAUAAAUAAUUUAGUUGAAUUUCAAAUAUAAACUUAUUUUGAGAACGCAUGGUGUGAUUCUGGGACCUGAAAGAGUAAAAACUAGGGUAAGUUUGAUAUGCUGAAGCAGACUGAGGACAUUGUGUUUAAUGGAUAUUGUGGCUUGUAUCUCAAUGUCCCCCCUCAAAGCCUCAUGUGGUCAUAGGUGGGGCUUUUCAGAGGUGACUGGAUCUCGGGUGUAUGAUGCUGGGAUCAAAGAUGUGAUGCUGGGAUUGAUGCAUGGUGUGAUGGUGGGAUUAAGGGUGCCCCACCCUGAGUGUGAGUACUAUCUACCCUAGCUUGGAUAAGAUAUAAGGGAUAGAAAGAGGGUCAUUGCUUGCUGCUUGCUACUUUGCUGCUUGCUGCCUUCUGCCUGGGAUGAACUAUUUUUCUUUUGCGAUGUCCCUCUGCCAUGCUUCCUGCCUUGGAGCCAGCCAACUAUGAACUGAAGCAGCUACAAACUGUGAGCUAAAUAAACCUUUCCUCCUUUACUUUGAGUGUUGGGUAUUUUGUUUCAGCAACAUGAAAAGUAACUAAGAGAAUGGGAGAAUCUUGAUUAGGAAAUUACAGUUAGAAAACAAGAGUUUCUUGAACUCAUUAUUUCCCAGGUUUUCUUUCACAGCAGCUUUCUCUCAUUUUAUUAUCUAAAAGCUAGGCUAGGGCUGGGGAAGUAACUCAGUGGUGUCCUGCCUGCAAGGUCCUGAGGAACACCCCCCCCCCAUUAAAAGGCUGAAUAAUACAAAGCCCUAUGCUUUUAAUGAAUGGUAUAGUUAUAUCUGUAGGAUUUAUAGGAUAUGUAGGGCUGCUUACUUCUGUUGGAUUCUGAAAUUUUAACAGCAAAUUUCCAGUUAAACUUGGUGACUGAGCAUGUUUUCCCUUGCUCUUUCCUAGUAAGGGACGAAAAAUUUAAGUAGAAGAGUGAAAAAUAUGAAUCCACAAGCAUGAGGAGAGGAAGCAACAUAUGAAACAUAAAUUUUUAGAGAAUGUAAAGGGGAAAUUAACAUGGAUGAGAUAGUUGAAUAUAAAUGACUGAAGAAUGUUAGACCAGUGAAAAGCAAACCAAUUUAUGCUCCUUAAGUGAAGAAUUAGAAGUAGUAUGUCCCAUGGAUAACAGAAGCUGAGGUAAAAAUGAAUUACUAAUAUACUCAGAGAGAUAGUAGAAUAUGGUGCUUACAUGGAACAUGACAAAAUUAUAUAAAAAAGGAAUAAUCAAAGAAUGCACACUCAGGAUAACUAAAAUAAUAGAUUUAUAGAAUAUUUGAAAUUUCCUGGAAAUAGAGACAAAAAGACAAAUAUUGAAAAACAAGGAAGAAAAGAUAAAAAUCAGACAAAUAAUCUAAUAAACUCAAAACCUGACUAGUAUCUCAAAUAAGAUUUGCAGAAACCAAGAGGUAGACACUAGGAUGAAUUUUGGCAGGGAAUCUCAAAGGUUGGGGUGUGUGAUGCUGAUUUUUCUAUAAACCUUGUGGUACUAUAUAACUAGUAGACUGUAGAGAUGUAUUGCUUUGAAAAUAAUAACAUGAUAAUUUUAAACAUUCUAACAGAAGAAUUAUAGCGCUGUGGAUUGAAUGUUUGUGAUUGCUGAAAAUUCAUUAUGUUGAAACCCUAAUCCCCAGUGUGAUGGUAUUUGUACAUGGGUCCUUUGAGAGUUAAUUAGAUCAUGAAUGUGGAGAACUCCUGAUCAGAUAAGAGUUCUUGCUUGCUUCCUGUGUCUCUCUGCUGUCUGUCCAUCAUGAGGACACAGGAAGAUGACCAUGUGCAAACCAGGAAGAGGCACUCACCAAAACCCGACUGGUGGCAUUCUGAUCUCAGACUUCCCAGUCUUCAGAACUGUGAGAAAUAAGUUUCUGCUAUUUAAUACUCCCCUUGUCCCCUCUCUGUGGUAAUUUAUUAUUUCAGCCUGAAUUGACUAAGAUAUUAAGUAUUUUGGACUUCAGUUUUUCAGGUAGAUGAGUAACUCUUUAUGAAGGUGCAAUUAGAUUUAUGUGCUGACAUUUCUUAACUUUGGAUAUUAUGUCAAAUAUUAUUUGAAGGGUUUUCUCAUUCCCAUAAAGUACAUGUUUGCAUGGUAAAAGCAAUAGUAAAGAAUCUGAAAGUUGUUGCUACAAUUCUCAACUCUUAAGUAUGUGUUCCAAAUAAAAGAAAGCCAUUAACUUGAUGGCUAAGGAGAUAUAGAAAAGUCAAAACUUCAUUUGAUUUGGUAGGUAGAGUUAUACAAGAUAAACAGUACAUUUGUUAAAUAAAGAAUAGCUUCCCCACAUUCUAAGUAAUGUUUAAAUACAUACUAUUUAUUUUCUAUCAAAAACUUCACAUGGCUAGUGCAUGCAUUCUCAUGGAAUGCUUUUAACAGCUUGCAGACUCAUUACCUAUUAAUCUAUGGCUAAUAUAAGGCACUUUUGUUGUAGCUUACAAAUUUGUGGAGGUUAAAUAAUUCAGUGCAUGCAGUUCUGAAUUUAGAUUAUCUUUCAAUGGUCAGAAAUAUACUUUGCCAAAAAAUUCAGUCUGAGUGUGCUCAAAAUAUCAAGUAUCUUUUGAAGUUUUUAAAUAAGAUCUCCACAAUAAAACCCCCACAAACAAACAACAAAAAAGUCCAGAACAGGUCUGGUAAACAGAAGUGGAUAGCAGACAUCCUUAAACCUUCUUGAGAAAAUUUUCAAAACCUAAGAGAGGCAGAGACAGACCCCAAGGUGGAAAGGGGGCAGGAUUUCUCCUUUAUUUUUCUUUUUUCAACCAAGGACAUUUGGUCUUGAGAGAAGGAAGAGAGGAGAAAUGAGGAAAGCACAAGAUUUGUCUCAAAGAUUUAUUUUGUAGUUGAUUGUAGCUUAUAAAGGUUUUCAUUGAUAGAGUAUGGGAGGGAGCAUUUUAAAUUUCAAUACCGAAGCUUUGAAGAGUUGCCCUGUUGUUGCAGCUGCUGGGGCAGGCUUGCUCAAACAUCAAUGGUGCAUUGUGGCAAUUUGCUCUGCUUCCCUGUCUCUGAUGGACAUCCUCCAGGCAGUGAAGGGCAAAAGGCCUAGGAGUGCUGGUUACUGGCAUAAUAGAAGUUGUUGGACCAGUUUUUCAUAACAAUCCAUUAGUAUGACUACUUAAGAAUUGUAAUUGUAAUUUGAAGGCACAAGUGGGUCAAGAAUAAUUUGCUCUACACUGUUUAAGAAGGCGUGAAGGAGUGUGAGUAGAAUGGGAUGUGUACAGUUCAACACCUGGACUCUUACUGUGGGAAUGGAACAGUGAUUCUGUAACCAACAUUAGAAUUACUUUGGAUUUGUAAUUAAAAUGGUUUUAUGAUUUGUCUUUUAACUAUUCACAGAUAAUUGUAAAUUCUGGUUUUAUAAGCCCAAGUUAUUUUACAUUUGCUUUUCCAAAGUGUAUUAAAUUGGAAUUUUGUAAUCAUUUAUAUACCAAAAAAACCCAAGAAUAAUUUGCUUUAUAAAGCAGUUGAUUCAGGAUUUCAACUUAGGAAGUUUACCUUGGAGCUGAGACUCAUAAAAAUAAAAUCAUGAAAAUUGGUGUUAAGAAGAUUGUUUAGGUAAGCAUACAC
ensembl:lncRNA